GAUGAACGCUGGCGGCGUGCCUAAUACAUGCAAGUCGAGCGAACAGAUAAGGAGCUUGCUCCUUUGACGUUAGCGGCGGACGGGUGAGUAACACGUGGGUAACCUACCUAUAAGACUGGAAUAACUCCGGGAAACCGGGGCUAAUGCAGGAUAACAUGUUGAACCGUAUGGUUCUACAGUGAAAGGCGGCUUUGCUGUCACUUAUAGAUGGACCCGCGCCGUAUUAGCUAGUUGGUGAGGUAACGGCUCACCAAGGCAACGAUACGUAGCCGACCUGAGAGGGUGAUCGGCCACACUGGAACUGAGACACGGUCCAGACUCCUACGGGAGGCAGCAGUAGGGAAUCUUCCGCAAUGGGCGAAAGCCUGACGGAGCAACGCCGCGUGAGUGAUGAAGGUCUUCGGAUCGUAAAACUCUGUUAUUAGGGAAGAACAAAUGCGUAAGUAACUGUGCGCGUCUUGACGGUACCUAAUCAGAAAGCCACGGCUAACUACGUG
rnacentral:rRNA from 1 species